UGGUAGAUGCACCCUGAUUGACACCCCCGGUUCACUUUGGUGAGCUGGGGAUUUUUUUU
rnacentral:sRNA from 14 species